AGCCCUGCCCCAUAGCUCCGCCCCAUAGCUUCGCCCCAUAGCCCUGCCCCAUAGAUCUGCCCCAUAGCUCCGCCCCACACAUUUCUGCCCCACAGGGUGAGGAAGGUUUUCCCGGCUUCAAAGGCGACAUGGGAGUGAAAGGAGAGCGGGGCGAUGCCGGCCCCCCCGGCUCUCGCGGCGCCGACGGCCCCGAAGGCCCCAAAGGUCGCCUGGGAUCAGCGGGGGAACCCGGCCGCAUGGGGGCGCCUGGAGACAAGGGCAAACUGGGGGUGCCAGGACUGCCGGGUUACCCGGGGCGGCAGGGCCCCAAGG